rnacentral:misc_RNA from 1 species
UUUCCGUAGGUGAACCUGCGGAAGGAUCAUUACUGAGUGAGGGCCCCUCGGGGUCCAACCUCCCACCCGUGUUUAACGAACCUUGUUGCUUCGGCGGGCCCGCCUCACGGCCGCCGGGGGGCAUCUGCCCCCGGGCCCGCGCCCGCCGAAGCCACCUGUGUACGCUGUCUGAAGUAUGCAGUCUGAGACAAUUAUUAAAUUAAUUAAAACUUUCAACAACGGAUCUCUUGGUUCCG